rnacentral:rRNA from 1 species
AUGGAGAACAAAAUGGAAGAUCUCUUCAAUCUAGAGUUUGAAAUCGUAGAUAUGUCCAUGUCCAUCGACACAAUGAAGACUGAUGAUCACGGCAGCAAUGCAGAAAUACCAUGUGUUCAGAGUUCUCCAGAGCAUGAUUUUGAGUUCCUAGAAGGCAGGCUCCACAGCAUCAGAGAAGCCAUUGCAAAUGCUGAGCUACUUCUGGACAACAGCCUCUUCUGUGGCACACCGUCAAGUCUAUCACUCCAUUCAUUCAUCGUUGAGAUGCUGGAGACCGUUGAGGCCGUCUUUGGCGAUGGAUCAGAGAGCAGCUUCAGCUUCCAGGAAGAAAACAACUUUCAACGCACCAACUUCCUGUUCGACUGCAUCGUCGAGUCGCUGGACUCGAAGUUCCGCGACUUCGAGAAAUGCGGGUACAAGGCUUUGUUGCGAAUGCCUCUCACCAUGAGCAAAGACCUGCUGAAGAGGGAAAUAUCCGAAGAGAUCGGUAGCUGGAGCGAUGUUUCAUCGGACCGUGCUGCGGAGAAGGAGCUGGACCAGGUGGCGGCGGCGAGGUGUGAUGGGUGCCGGACCGAGGCGUUCGCCAUCAAGGACGACGUACUCGAGGCCCUCGUCGGUGAGUUUGCCUUCGACCAAUGCUGCUGA